GGGGCAGCAUUUUAGUUUGCUUGCAAACUGAAGAUGGCGACCGGCGCACGGGUGAGUAACACGUAUCCAACCUGCCGAUAACUCCGGGAUAGCCUUUCGAAAGAAAGAUUAAUACCGGAUGGCAUACGAAUAUCGCAUGAUAUUUUUAUUAAAGAAUUUCGGUUAUCGAUGGGGAUGCGUUCCAUUAGUUUGUUGGCGGGGUAACGGCCCACCAAGACUACGAUGGAUAGGGGUUCUGAGAGGAAGGUCCCCCACAUUGGAACUGAGACACGGUCCAAACUCCUACGGGAGGCAGCAGUGAGGAAUAUUGGUCAAUGGGCGAGAGCCUGAACCAGCCAAGUAGCGUGAAGGAUGAAGGCUCUAUGGGUCGUAAACUUCUUUUAUAUGGGAAUAAAGUUUUCCACGUGUGGAAUUUUGUAUGUACCAUAUGAAUAAGGAUCGGCUAACUCCGUGCCAGCAGCCGCGGUAAUACGGAGGAUCCGAGCGUUAUCCGGAUUUAUUGGGUUUAAAGAGAGCGUAGGUGGAUUGUUAAGUCAGUUGUGAAAGUUUGCGGCUCAGCCGUAAAAUUGCAGUUGAAACUGGCAGUCUUGAGUACAGUAGAGGUGGGCGGAAUUCGUGGUGUAGCGGUGAAAUGCUUAGAUAUCACGAAGAACUCCGAUUGCGAAGGCAGCUCACUAGACUGUUACUGAC
rnacentral:rRNA from 1 species